AACGAACGCUGGCGGCAUGCCUAACACAUGCAAGUCGAACGAGACCUUCGGGUCUAGUGGCGCACGGGUGCGUAAAGCGUGGGAUCCUGCCCUUAGGUUCGGAAUAACUCCCCGAAAGGGGUGCUAAUACCGGAUAAUGUCUUCGGACCAAAGAUUUAUCGCCUUUGGAUGGGCCCGCGUUGGAUUAGCUAGUUGGUAGGGUAAAAGCCUACCAAGGCGACGAUCCAUAGCUGGUCUGAGAGGAUGAUCAGCCACACUGGGACUGAGACACGGCCCAGACUCCUACGGGAGGCAGCAGUGGGGAAUAUUGGACAAUGGGCGAAAGCCUGAUCCAGCAAUGCCGCGUGAGUGAUGAAGGCCUUAGGGUUGUAAAGCUCUUUUACCCGGGAUGAUAAUGACAGUACCGGGAGAAUAAGCUCCGGCUAACUCCGUG
rnacentral:rRNA from 1 species